CAGGUGCUAUAAUCUCUCAUCCGGUUUCCUUAGCUCUUGUGAAAAUAGUGUUAUGCAUAGAUAGUUGUUUAAAUUGAUGUUUCUAUGAGGGCACAAGUGUUAGAAAGUCAUAUUCUGUCACCUUGUUCACAUCUAGAUGGAGAAGGGAUCUAAAUAUUUCUGUAUACAAUCUUUUCUGCAUAGAACACUUUUUGCCUAGAAAAAAAAAAUCAUCUGUCUAGUCUAAUUGGUUAUCAGGAGGUUUUUUUUUUUUUGGCUCAUAAAUUGAUACCCUUUAUUCAACUGUAUCCAUUUAGCAGAUCCAAGCUAUGACACUGAGAAAGGAAUCUGUAAAGAGGUCACAGAGCAAACUCUUAGAGUCCAACUAAAGUCUCGUCUGUGAAAUUUCCACUCUGACAAUGUCAUCAUGCUGUGUACAGCUCUACAUCCUCUCCACCAGAUCAUCUUUUCCCAAAUGCUAAUAGAAUUACCAGGGGAAGAAGUGAGCGUGGAGACAUCUGGAGAAACUCCGAAACCUGAAGGUCCACCAGACUGGCAGAGCCUACUUGAGCCUGCAGGAUUCGGGAAAGAACUGAAGACAUGCACAUUCCUCUCCUCAAGUGAUCCACCUGCCUCAGCCUCCCAAAGUGCUGGGAUUAUAGGCAUGAGCCACCACGCCAGGCUCACAGUCAACUUGAGUUUGGCCAUGAGCCAGAUGAGGCAUGGGUGUGAACUGAGGUGGAACCAGGUCAGGAAUGGGGAACACCCAAGGGACUGCAUCAGUUAGGACUUUGGCAGGAAAUAAGUGGCAUGCUCAUAACAGGAAAAUUCAAAGAAAUUUUAAUAAAAAUCCUGUUUGCCAAGGUGUCCACAGGGUGUAGAGAACCCACAAGGGGUUAGUGCAAUCUCUGGGGCUGGUACAGCAGGUGUUACCACCUGAGGCCUGAAGUGGAGUAAGGGAAGGAGUGGUUACCAGAACCCAACAACAGGGAGGGCUGCCUGGGAAGGGCCACAUGACAGGAACUUGACAUUAUGGGGGCAGGACUCAGCCAGCAGGCCGUGACACGCAGAGGCAGCUAUGUGUUAGUAAAUGAUAUAUAGUAGGUGCUCAAUAAGUGCCUGUAUUAAUGUUCCUAUUAUCAUUAUUACUGCUUUUUUUUUUUUUUUUUUUUGAGACAGAGUCUAGUUCUGUUGCCCAGGCUGGGGUGCAGUGGCGCGAUCUCGGCUCACUGCAAGCUCCGCCUCCCGGGUUCACGCCAUUCUCCUGCCUCAGCCUCCCGAGUAGCUGGGACUACAGGCGCCCGCCACCGCGCCCGGCUAGUUUUUUGUAUUUUUAGUAGAGACGGGGUUUCACGGUAGUCUCGAUCUCCUGACCUUGUGAUCCGCCCGCCUCGGCCUCCCAAAGUGCUGGGAUUACGGGCGUGAGCCACCGCGCCUGGCUAUUACUGCUUUUUGAUACAUAUUAUAUAUUCCAUGACAGCUGAUAUUUUCCCAUUGAAGAAGCUGAAGUGUCAAGGGAAUAAGGGAAAAGUAAAGGAGGGAGGCUUCUUCAUUACAUUCUCUCCAGCAGCAAGAGAAGAGAGUCUCUGGAGGUGCUAAGAAACAGAUGCUACUGUGGCAGCCAAGAAACCCAGAAUGCCAGCGACAGCAGAGGGAUAUCUGCAGGAGAGAUGGUAAGGCCAAACUUCUGAAUUGUUUCAUGUUGUUUAAAACAUCCGCCCCUAGGAAAGGCUUGGGAGGCUCACAAAUUCCUGUUAUAGUUAAAAAAGGAAAUAGACCAGAAAGGUGAAAUUGAGUUUAUGUAAAACAAUGUAUGUAUUACACAGAGAAAUGAAAACUCUUCAGCAGUUCAUUGGCGAUCUUAGCACACGUCUCAGAAAGCAGAGAAAACUGGUUACCUCCAACAAUUGCAAAAAGUCAUGGUCUGCAUAAACUUUGUCCUGUAUAAUCGGCCACAACAUAACAGCACUUGCAGAAAUUGAUGCUGUUCAAGGGUCCCCUAUAUUUGGGAAGCCAGAAAUUUCUCCUCUCUAUUCCCCAUAAGUAUAAUCCUUUAUAAUAAAAAUUUGUAUUUUGACAACCUGACAUAGCUAUGUUUAAAAUCAAAAAUUAGUAAUGGCAAGUUAAUAGAAUUCUGUGGAUCCACAAGUCACUAAGUUCGGCAUCAAACAAGAGCACAAAAGCAGAGAAUGCAGAAUACAGUUUCUGCCAGGGGAGUAGGAAUGAGUUCAGGGCAAACAAGGGACUAACACUACGAACAGGUAAGAUAGAAUCCCUUGGCUUAACAUUUCAGUCUUGGAUUAUCUUGCCUGUUUUUAUUCAAGAAACUUAAAUAGAUAUUGAUAGGUUGUGGAAUCCUUUUUUUCUGUCAGUUAGUUUUAGAUUAAAAAAAAAAGUUUUAUUGAAAUAUAACUCACAC
ensembl:lncRNA